AUGUGGUGUAAAGACGAGGAUGAUUUAUAUUCGAGACGGAACCGCGACAAGAUUAACAGACACGUGAGAAUUGAGUUACCGCCGCCGUUCUCCGGUGACGAGAAGCAGAGCUUUCUAUGUUGGGCACGGCAGUUCGAGGUCGCGGUCAGAGCGCUAACAGAGGGAGACGGCGCUGCGUCCUAUAAUUAUGAACUGGCGCGGAUUCUACCAACGCGGCUAACUAACGCAGCAUUUCUUUUGUGGGACAGCCUUUCUCAUACUGUCCAGGCUGAUUAUACAGCGACCAAAGAACGACUCAAGGAGGCUUUUGGACAGCGGCAGUUCAUGGAUCGCUUCAGAGCCAGCCUAUCAGCUCGCCCUCGUGCGCCGCGGGAAAGUUUGGAGGUGUAUGCCGCAGAGAUCAGCAGAUUAGUGGAUGAGGCUUUUCCUGAAUACGGCGACAGAGCCCAGAGGGAAGAAAAAUUCCGUCGUUUCCUUGCUGGCUUAGAUCCUGGGCUCAGAGCUAAAUGCCAUGAACAAGGAGCAACGGAUUUGGAGGAGGCUGUGAUAAUUGCAGGUCGGUGUGAAAACGCUAGAGACGCAAUAAAGACUGAUUACAAGACUGUUAAUGUUGCAGGAAAUACUAAUGAUGGUGAAGCGGUGGCUGCUGUUUAUUCUGUGACUGAUAAUGGAGGCCUGCACAGAGCUAUGGAUCGAUUGACUGAGGAAAUGAGGGAUAUGAGAAUGGAAUUGAGGCGCUUGGGUGAUGAAAAUCAAAAACUAAAGGUCAGAGUGAGUUCUAGAGCAAUGGACGACUGGGAUGGAGGCCACUCUCAGUUUAAUGGAAGGUGCCAGUGUGUCUGCGGGGGUCGAGGAUGCCAGUCACGUGUCUUUGAUGGCGCUCGGAGAGGCCGCUCACCUGAGAGGAAAUUCCAGCACUGUGAUGAGCGUACAUCAGGUAUGGACGUGCGUAGUUAUAAAGACUCACACUCUCCUUUGUCUCCUGUGAGACGCAGCCCCAGCCCCGGUUCUCGCAGAUGGAAUGGCUAUGAGGAUGAUUCGAGAAAGCGGGGAGUGCGUUUCAUGUCACCUAGCAGAGAUGAGCGCCGCUACCAGCCGGAAAACGGACUGUAG
rnacentral:lncRNA from 1 species